UGGGGAAUAUUGCACAAUGGGCGCAAGCCUGAUGCAGCCAUGCCGCGUGUAUGAAGAAGGCCUUCGGGUUGUAAAGUACUUCAGCGGGGAGGAAGGCGAUAAGGUUAAUAACCUUGUCGAUUGACGUUACCCGCAGAAGAAGCACCGGCUAACUCCGUGCCAGCAGCCGCGGUAAUACGGAGGGUGCAAGCGUUAAUCGGAAUUACUGGGCGUAAAGCGCACGCAGGCGGUCUGUCAAGUCGGAUGUGAAAUCCCCGGGCUCAACCUGGGAACUGCAUUCGAAACUGGCAGGCUAGAGUCUUGUAGAGGGGGGUAGAAUUCCAGGUGUAGCGGUGAAAUGCGUAGAGAUCUGGAGGAAUACCGGUGGCGAAGGCGGCCCCCUGGACAAAGACUGACGCUCAGGUGCGAAAGCGUGGGGAGCAAACA
rnacentral:rRNA from 1 species